UGCCAUUAAAGCAACGCCGCGGCGCGAAAAAGGAUCACCCUGUGCGACGGCCAUCCUCAUGACCGUAUCGCGAAAACCCACGAGAUUGACAAAACUGUCGACGGUCAUGGAUGCGCGGGCGCUGUCCUCGGGUGGCGACUCCUUGGCGAUAUGGUCACAGGCAGGCACUGAUGGAGCCGAUCGAGUCGACGGCGGCGCCCUGGGGAUCGCAGGCGGUGAUCCCUUGCCGGUGGCGUGCACAUGUCCGUGGCCCAAGACCAAGAGCGGCACGGCGCCCUGGUCGCGCAAGUGGUGUUGGACGGUCACAUUGAGGACGCCGACGGCGGAGUCGACCGCUUCGUCCUCGCGUAUGACCCCCGAAUCCAACGCAUCGAGCACGACCGCAGCCGCGUCUUGACACACGGGCGUCAGCCAGGUCCACACGUCGAGCCGCUCCGGCCACCAGGUGUGCUCGCGUGGCGGGCAAAACAAGGCGCCGCGUCCGUCGGCGUGUUUGGUGGGACGCUGGAUCUUGGUGGCCUCGACAGAGUGCGCGCAUUCAUGUACGUCAUAGAGAACGGCCAGGGAGAUCGUUGCUUUGCCCUUGUCGUCGGCGAGGCGCCUUGUCAAUGUGCCGCCCGCCGAGGCCAUUUCGAUGCGGCCGGCCCCCCUGGUCAACGAUGCGGGGACGCUCCACGGCAGUGGGGUCAUCAUGCGCACUGUUGCCCCCCCUCAUCUUUUUUUCUUUUCGAUUGUGUUUUUUCUCUGUUUGCCCUCUCUUUUUCAACACGACUUUUUUUGUCGUCGGUCUCGUGCGUGCAGGGCGUGAGCGUUGGUCGAAAAAGAGCAGCCCUGGUGGGGCCGAGGCAUAGAGUGCGGCAUCGACGGCUCAUUCGUCUGCCCUUCCGUGGCACGCAAACAAUUGGUGCAUGUCAAAUGGUCGGUGUAAAUUGGGCAGAUAUUAAAAAAG
rnacentral:lncRNA from 1 species